UCUCCGUAGGUGAACCUGCGGAGGGAUCAUUACAGAGUUCUCGCCCUCGCGGGUAGAUCUCCCACCCACUGUUAUCGUUACUGUGUUGCUUUGGCGGGCCGCCGGGCCCCGCUCGGCCGCCGGCUCCGGCUGGCGCGCGCCCGCCAGAGGCCCAGCAAACUCUGAAUGUUAGUGUCGUCUGAGUACUAUAUAGUAGUUAAAACUUUCAACAACGGAUCUCUUGGUUCUG
rnacentral:misc_RNA from 1 species